AGACUGAUGAGGUUGAAGCUGUAUGCGUCAUGUAUCGAUUAUCACCUCGAGGAUGGAGACAGCCUUUCCUGAUGAGGAUUAAAUGGAAGGACUGAGGAGAUUAAAAUUGAACUACUUUUAUCAAUGAAAAGUGUUGAAAAGCAGAGGUGUCACUUAAAGGACUAAGGUAUGCCUGACACAAGCCAUGGUGUUUUCAAUUGCCUCAUAUGCAUGCAAAAUCCAGACAAUGAA